AAGCGGAGGAAAAGAAACCAACAGGGAUUGCCCUAGUAACGGCGAGUGAAGCGGCAACAGCUCAAAUUUGAAAGCUGGCUCCGGCCCGCAUUGUAAUUUGCAGAGGAUGCUUCUGGUGAGGUGCCUUCCGAGUUCCCUGGAACGGGACGCCAUAGAGGGUGAGAGCCCCGUAUGGAUGGACACCAAACCUGUGUGAAGCUCCUUCAACGAGUCGAGUAGUUUGGGAAUGCUGCUCUAAAUGGGAGGUAAAUCUCUUCUAAAGCUAAAUACCGGCCAGAGACCGAUAGCGCACAAGUAGAGUGAUCGAAAGAUGAAAAGCACCUUGAAAAGGGGGUUAAACAGUACGUGAAAUUGUUGAAAGGGAAGCGCUUGUGACCAGACUUGCGCCGGGCAGCUCAUCAGGGGUUCUCCCCUGUGCACUCUGCCCGGCUCAGGCCAGCAUCGGUUCUCGUGGGAGGAUAAGAACGGUAGGAACGUGGCCCCCUUCCGGGGGGGUGUUAUAGCCUACCGUACGAUACUCCCGUGGGGACCGAGGUUCGCGCUCCGCAAGGAUGCUGGCGUAAUGGUCAUCAGCGACCCGUCUUGA
rnacentral:rRNA from 1 species